rnacentral:lncRNA from 1 species
CAAUGACAGUGAGUUUGCAGACGAUUUCAUCUCACUUAAAAUAACGAAAAAACGGUUGGUUUAUGAUAUAGCAAAUCAUUUCUAUAAAUUGGCACAUAACUAAUCACGAAUCGAAAAAGGAUGUUGUUUUUUUUUUAUCAAAUUGAUGCUCAGUUCAGGAUUGUGGAUUUAUAUUAACUGUCUGUCAUGAAAAACCCACAUGAGAAGGUCUUAUUUGGUCUGCUAAAAAAAAAAAGAG